AGUGAACGCUGGCGGUAGGCCUAACACAUGCAAGUCGAACGGCAGCACAGUAAGAGCUUGCUCUUACGGGUGGCGAGUGGCGGACGGGUGAGGAAUAUAUCGGAAUCUACUUUUUCGUGGGGGAUAACGUAGGGAAACUUACGCUCAUACCGCAUACGACCUACGGGUGAAAGCAGGGGAUCUUCGGACCUUGCGCGAUUGAAUUAGCCGAUGUCGGAUUAGCUAGUUGGCGGGGUAAAGGCCCACCAAGGCGACGAUCCGUAGCUGGUCUGAGAGGAUGAUCAGCCACACUGGAACUGAGACACGGUCCAGACUCCUACGGGAGGCAGCAGUGGGGAAUAUUGGACAAUGGGCGCAAGCCUGAUCCAGCCAGACCGCGUGGGUGAAGAAGGCCUUCGGGUUGUAAAGCCCUUUUGUUGGGAAAGAAAAGCAGCAGGUUAAUACCCCGCUGUUCUGACGGUACCCAAAGAAUAAGCACCGGCUAACUUCGUG
rnacentral:rRNA from 1 species